rnacentral:rRNA from 1 species
UUUAACUGAAGAGUUUGAUCAUGGCUCAGAUUGAACGCUGGCGGCAGGCUUAACACAUGCAAGUCGAGCGGGGGAAGGUAGCUUGCUACCGGACCUAGCGGCGGACGGGUGAGU